AUGAACGCUGGCGACGUGUCUAAGGCAUGCAAGUCGAGGGGUCCGUAGCAAUACGGACACCGGCAAACGGGUGCGUAACACAUUGGUAACUUACCCCGAAGUCAUGAAUAAGCCUGCGAAAGCGGGUCUAAUACAUGAUGGAAGCGAGGGGACUAAAGUCAUUCUCGCUUAAAGAUUUAUCGCUUCGGGAAAGGCCUAUGGCUUAUCAGCUAGUUGGUGAGGUAAUGGCUCACCAAGGCUAUGACGAGUAGCGGGAUUGAGAGAUCGACCCGCCUCACUGGGACUGAGAUACUGCCCAGACUCCUACGGGAGGCUGCAGUCAAGAAUAUUCCCCAAUGGCCGAAAGGCUGAGGGAGCGACGUCGCGUGCAUGAAGAAACCCUUCGGGGUGUAAAGUGCUUUUAACUGGGACGAAUCAAUGACGGUACCAGUUGAAUAAGGGGCUGCUAAACUCGU
rnacentral:rRNA from 1 species